rnacentral:rRNA from 1 species
UACGUAGGGUGCGAGCGUUGUCCGGAAUUAUUGGGCGUAAAGGGCUCGUAGGCGGUUUGUCGCGUCGGGAGUGAAAACACCGGGCUUAACUCGGUGCUUGCUUUCGAUACGGGCAGACUAGAGGUAUGCAGGGGAGAACGGAAUUCCUGGUGUAGCGGUGAAAUGCGCAGAUAUCAGGAGGAACACCGGUGGCGAAGGCGGGUCUCUGGGCCGAUACUGACGCUGAGGAGCGAAAGCGUGGGGAGCGAACAGG